GCGGGCGUGGUAUAGUGGUUAUCACGCGACCUUCCCAAGGUUGAUACCCGGGUUCGAUUCCCGGCGCCCGCACCA
rnacentral:tRNA from 2 species